rnacentral:lncRNA from 1 species
AUGAAGCAACAGGUUGUAAUUAAUCCAGGAAAUCCUACAGGCCAGGUAAAUGUUCUUACUUAAGAGAACCAAUGAGAUAACGUCGAGUUCUGCAAGAAAGAAGAUUUGGUCCUUUUAGCAGAUGAGGUAAGUGAUUCGCUAUGCAGUUAAUGCGGUAAAAAUUGGAUAUCGGUAAAAAAUCUGAUAUCGGUGAAAUUUAUAUCUGAGCCUCUUUUGAUCGUUUGAGCUACCUGAGUAUGGAAAAAGCCAUUUACACUAACCGCAAAAUAAAACAAGAUUGCUGGUAUCAUUUUCUAUUUAUUUGCCAACUCUCUUUUAAAUGCUAUGAUGAUGCAUUUGAAGUUCUUUAUGCCGAAAGGUUUUAGUAUUGCUGAAUAGAGCCGUUCAUAGUCUUUACUAGCUGUUUUUAAGGAUAUUAUCCCUAGAACAAGAACUGUAUUAGGCUACCUACUGAAAAAGAGCUUGCAAUGGUCGGUUUCGGGGCCGAAUCAUAGUUUACAGUGUCUAAACCUUUAAAUGAACAAACACACAUUGACAUAAAUGAAUA